rnacentral:rRNA from 1 species
AGUUUGUCAUGGCUCAGAACGAACGCUGGCGGCAGGCCUAACACAUGCAAGUCGAGCGCGCAGCAAUGCGAGCGGCGGACGGGUUAGUAACGCGUGGGAACGUACCCUUUUCUACGGAAUAGCCUCGGGAAACUGAGAGUAAUACCGUAUACGCCCUUCGGGGGAAAGAUUUAUCGGAGAAGGAUCGGCCCGCGUCUGAUUAGGUAGUUGGUGAGGUAAUGGCUCACCAAGCCUACGAUCAGUAGCUGGUUUGAGGGGAUGAUCAGCAAACACUGGGACUGAGACACCGGCCCAGACUCCUACGGGAGGCAGCAGGUGGGGAAUCUUAGACAAUGGGGGCAACCCUGAUCUAGCCAUGCCGCGUGAGUGAUGAAGGCCUUAGGGUCGUAAAGCUCUUUCGCCGGGGAAGAUAAUGACGGUACCCGGUAAAGAAACCCCGGCUAACUCCGUG